GGCCGCCCACAGCAGGUCCCUUUGUGAUUGGCUGAACAGGCUGUCCAGACCGGCUUACCCAGAACUCCAGGAGAGGGAAUCCAGGCUGGUUUGCAAAUGCACAGAGCUCCUCCUGGGCCAGAGUUCCUUCUCUGCAGUGAUGCUGGUUUUAUUCUUGUUUUUCUCACUGUUUUUCCUUUAAGAGUAAGGUGGUAUUUCACUGUGGUUUGGAUUUGCAUUUCCCUGGUAAUAGUGAUGGUGAGUAUUUUUUCAUGUUUGUUAGCCAUUUGUAUAUCUUCUUUGAGAAUUGUCUAUUCAUGUACUUUGCCAAUUUUUUGA
rnacentral:lncRNA from 1 species